rnacentral:rRNA from 1 species
UACGUAGGGGGCUAGCGUUGUCCGGAAUCAUUGGGCGUAAAGCGCGCGUAGGCGGCCAGAUAAGUCCGGUGUGAAAGUCACAGGCUCAACCUGUGAAUGCCGCUGGAAACUGUCUGGCUAGAGUCCGGAAGGGGCGAGUGGAAUUCCUGGUGUAGCGGUGAAAUGCGCAGAUAUCAGGAGGAACCCCAAUGGCGAAGGCAGCUCGAUGGAACGGUACUUACGCUGAGGCGCGAAAGCGUGGGGAGCGAACAGG